rnacentral:misc_RNA from 1 species
UGGUUCUGGCAUCGAUGAAGAACGCAGCGAAAUGCGAUAAGUAAUGUGAAUUGCAGAAUUCAGUGAAUCAUCGAAUCUUUGAACGCACCUUGCGCCCCUUGGCAUUCCGAGGGGCACACCCGUUUGAGUGUCGUGAACAUCCUCAACCUGCUUGGUUUUAUCGAACCAAGUAGGCUUGGAAUCUGGAGGUUUUCUGCUGGCCUCCUCCGAAGCCAGCUCCUCUUAAAUGUAUCAGUGGGAUCCACUUUGCUAGAUCCUCGACGUUGAUAAGAUGUUUCUACGUCUUGGGUUUUGCUCGGGAAGGACCUGCUUCUAACCGUCCCAAUUGGGGACAACGUUCGAGCCGAUCGCCCUUCAUGGGGUGGGAAGCUUUUCGACCCAUGAAACCUUGACCUCAAAUCGGGUGAGACUACCCGCUGA